AGUGAACGCUGGCGGCGUGCUUAACACAUGCAAGUCGAGCGAAUUUUGGCAGAGUAUCGCCAGAGUUAGCGGCAGACGGGUGAGUAAUACUUGGGCAAUCUGCCCUUCAGUGGAGGACAACCUGCCGAAAGGUGGGCUAAUACUCCAUAAGACCACAGGGAUGCAUAUUCCAGGGGUCAAAGCUCCGCAAGGGGCGCUAAAGGAGGAACCCGAGUCCUAUCAUGGUAGUUGGUGAGGUAACGGCUCACCAAGCCUUUGACGGGUAGCCGGCCUGAAAGGAUGAUCAGUCACACUGGAACUGAGAAACGGUCCAGACUCCUACGGGAGGCAGCAGUGGGGAAUAUUGGACAAUGGGCGAAAGCCUGAUUCAGCCAUGCCGCGUGUGUGAAGAAGGUCUUCGGAUUGUAAAGCACUUUAAGUCGGGAGGAAGGGCUGCAGGUUAAUACCUUGCAGCCUUGACGUUACCGACAGAAUAAGCACCGGCUAACUUCGUGCCAGCCGCCGCCGUAA
rnacentral:rRNA from 1 species